rnacentral:rRNA from 1 species
UUGUCCCAAAGAUUAAGCCCAUGCCAUGCGAAGACAAUUCGACGAGACUCUCACAAAAUCUGCGAACGGCUCCGUAUAUCUGUUAAAACCCGUUGCCCGUUGGAAAGGUUGGUAAGCGGAUAUCGCUCGGCAAUUCUGUCAGUAAUACGUGUACGUGCAUCGUGUCCAACAUUCAGCUUGACCGUGGCCCGCUGGCCCGCUGUAGCAGGAUGGACGGACUCCGGAACGCCCAGCUCUACCAAGAGUUAGGAAACCGCCGAGAAGCGAACCAAGCCCUAUGGGAACCUGGAGGCAACGGUUUUCAGACCUAUCAACUUGAAGCCUGUGGAGAGGACAGGCCUGGUUUUAACGGGUACAGAGGAUCAGGGUUCGGUCCUGGAGAGGUAGCAUGAGAGAUCGCUAAUACUUCUAAGGAAGGCAGCAGGCGCGCAACGUUCCCAAUGGGGGCAUAGGCCCCCUGAGGACGUGACGGGACAUACCAAUGCUCCGCCCGAAGGGCUGGGGUAAUCGGAA